rnacentral:misc_RNA from 1 species
GAAAUGCGAUACGUAGUGUGAAUUGCAGAAUUCCGUGAACCAUCGAAUCUUUGAACGCAUAUUGCGCUCGAGCCCUCGGGCAAGAGCAUGUCUGCCUCAGCGUCGGUUUACACCCUCACCCCUCCCACUUUUGUUGGGUGUGUUGGCUUCUAUGCCAGCCAUAGGGGUGGAUCUGGCUUCCCCAAUUCGCUGUAGUGGAUUGGGUUGGCUGAAGUAUAGAGGCUUAAGCAAGGACCCGAUAUGGGCUUCAACUGGAUAGGUAGCACCGGCUUUCGCCGACUACACGAAGUUGUUGCUUGUGGAUCUUGCUAGAGGCCAAGCAGGAACGUGCCUUUGGCAUGUCUAAACUUUCGACCUGAGCUCAGGCAAGGCUACCCGCUGAACUUAAGC